rnacentral:rRNA from 1 species
UUGGAGGGCAGUCUGGUGCCAGCAGCCGCGGUAAUUCCAGCUCCAAUAGCGUAUAUUAAAGUUGUUGCAGUUAAAAAGCUCGUAGUUGAAUUUCGGGAUCAAUUUAUUGGUCGUGCUAUUGUACGUACUGGUAUUAUUGAUUCCUACCUUCUGACGAACCAUGAUGUCAUUAAUUUGGUGUCAUGGGGAAUCAGGACUGUUACUUUGAAAAAAUUAGAGUGUUUAAAGCAGGCUCACGCUUGAAUACAUUAGCAUGGAAUAACGAAAUAGGACGUUUGAUUCUAUUUUGUUGGUUUCUAGGAUCGACGUAAUGAUUAAUAGGGAUAGUUGGGGGCAUUAGUAUUCAAUUGUCAGAGGUGAAAUUCUUGGAUUUAUUGAAGACUAACUACUGCGAAAGCAUUUGCCAAGGAUGUUUUCAUUAAUCAAGAACGAAAGUUAGGGGAUCGAAGACGAUCAGAUACCGUCGUAGUCUUGACCAUAAACUAUGCCGACUAGGGAUCGGAUGAUGUUAAUUUUUUAAUGACUCAUUCGGCGCCUUACGGGAAAC